CUAGAGAUAGAAGUUACUCGGUACAUCGGUGCAGGUGGUGCAUGGUUGUCGUCAGCUCGUGUCGUGAGAUAUUGGGUUAAGUCCCGCAACGAGCGCAACCCUCGACCUUAGUUGCCAGCAUUCAGUUGGGCACUCUAAGGUGACUGCCGGCUAAAAGGUCGGAGGAAGGUGGGGAUGACGUCAAAUCAUCAUGCCCCUUAUGACCUGGGCUACACACGUGCUACAAUGGGCGGUACAAAGGGUCGCGAACCCGCGAGGGGGAGCCAAUCCCAAAAAGCCGCUCUCAGUUCGGAUUGCAGGCUGCAACUCGCCUGCAUGAAGCCGGAAUCGCUAGUAAUCGCGGAUCAGCAUGCCCGCGGUCCGAAUACGUUCCGGCCUU
rnacentral:rRNA from 1 species